rnacentral:rRNA from 1 species
UAAGCGGAGGAAAAGAAACUAACAAGGAUUCCCCUAGUAACUGCGAGUGAAGCGGGAAAAGCUCAAAUUUAAAAUCUGGUGGCCUUUGUCCAUCCGAGUUGUAAUUUAGAGAAGCGUCUUCCGCGCUGGACCGUGCACAAGUCUCCUAGAACGGAGCGUCAUAGAGGGUGAGAAUCCCGUCUUUGGCACGGACACACCAGGGCUUUUGUGAUGCGCUCUCAAAGAGUCGAGUUGUUUGGGAAUGCAGCUCAAAAUGGGUGGUGAACUCCAUCUAAAGCUAAAUAUUGGCGAGAGACCGAUAGCGAACAAGUACCGUGAGGGAAAGAUGAAAAGAACUUUGGAAAGAGAGUUAAACAGUACGUGAAAUUGCUGAAAGGGAAACGCUUGAAGUCAGUCGCGUUGUCCAGGGAUCAACCUUGCUUUUGCUUGGUGCACUUUCUGGUUGACGGGUCAGCAUCAAUUUUGACUAUUGGAAAAAGAUUAGGGGAAUGUGACAUCUUCGGAUGUGUUAUAGCCCUUGGUUGCAUACAAUGGUUGGGAUUGAGGAACUCAGCACGCCGCAAGGCCGGGUUUUCAAACCACGUACGUGCUUAGGAUGCUGGCAUAAUGGCUUUAAUCGACC